ensembl:lncRNA
AAAACCAUGGUGGCCAUUGGCCAAUUAGAUUUCAGCAAGCAUUUUGAGUUAACAUUAAGUUAUUGUAAAAAAAAAAACCUGGACCAGUAGGUUCACUAUUUUUUUUAUAUAUACAACUUGGCAAGAACUGGCCACUGGAGCCACUAUUUGCAAAGGUGCUUGGACCCCGCAGAUCGCCUCUUGCGGCUAUAUUUAAAUAAUGUGGUUUUCAAUAAAUAUAACCACAUGGACAAUAUGAUUGAGUUCAGGUCUGUAUAUAAAAUAGUAUCAUAUAGUGACAAUCUAUCAUUACAUUCUCAGCUUCAUUGAAAUUCUACAUGCAAAUUACUCUGCUUUGAUUGGCUGGACAUAUUUAUUCCGUUUUGUCGCAUAGUGAUCAUGUGUGGAUCUCUUUUACUAGAACACAAUGCAGUGUUAAGAUACUAUCUAAGCCUUACAAAUGCACACACGCACAGUCAUAGAGCCAGUCCAGAGUCCAGUGUUGACCAGCAGGGAACAGAGAGAGAGAGAGAGAUGGGAUUAGUGAGAAAAUCACAUACCCGGUUAAUUAAACAACAAUGCCUUUAUUAUUCCAUGGCUUCUGGAUCCAAAUCUGAGAGCGACACACUCCAGAGUUCAUAAAGCAUUUAUAUAAACGGCUUUGAUGUAUUAUGAUCUGGCUGUUGAACAGAUGGAGGUCACGAGAGAAAUCUUGGCAAAUAUUUAUUUUUUCCCGCAUUAAUUCUGAUGGAAAAAAUGGGUCAAAUUUAGAUGUGAAUGUUUAAAAAAAUUGUGAAAGUUUAACCAAAGCCAAAUUGUACAGAAUACUGUAGCGUAAGAAAUAAUGAAGUUUAAGGAAUAUUGAAGUUUGCAAAAUACUGAAGUGUAAGGAAUAUUGAAGUAUAUGGGAUACUGAUGUGUAAGAAAUAUUGAGGUGUCUGGAAUACUGAGGUGUCUGGAAUAUUGAGGUGUCUGGAAUACUGAAGUGUCUGGAAUAUUGUCACACCCCUCUUCAUCUCCCUCCACUGGCUUCCUGUAGCUGCCUGCAUCAAGUUCAAGGCCUUGAUGCUUACCUACAAGACCUUGUCAGGAACAGCACCCUCCUACCUCAACUCUCUCCUGAAGGCCUACGUUCCCUCUCGCACUCUGCGAUCGAUUAGCGAC